rnacentral:rRNA from 1 species
UACAGAGGGGGCAAGCGUUGUUCGGAAUUACUGGGCGUAAAGGGCGCGUAGGCGGCCCGCUAAGUCGAACGUGAAAUCCCCGAGCUCAACUCGGGAACUGCGUCCGAUACUGGCGGGCUUGAAUCCGGGAGAGGGAUGCGGAAUUCCAGGUGUAGCGGUGAAAUGCGUAGAUAUCUGGAGGAACACCGGUGGCGAAGGCGGCUAUCUGGACCGACAUUGACGCUGAGGCGCGAAAGCGUGGGGAGCAAACAGG